AGGCGGAUUGGCAAGUGCCUUGUGAAAUCCCACGGCUCAACCGUGGAAUGGCUCGGCAGACUGCCAAUCUUGAACCCGGCAGGGGUCGUCGGAACGGUAGGUGGAGCGGUGAAAUGCGUAGAUAUCUACCGGAACGCCAAUGGCGAAGGCAGGCGACUGGGCCGGCGUUGACGCUCAGGCACGAAAGCGUGGGGAUCAAACAGGAUUAGAUACCCUGGUAGUCCACGCCGUAAACGAUGCGCACUAGGUCGGUGGUCCUUCGACGGAUUGCCGGCCGGAGAGAAAUUAUUAAGUGCGCCGCCUGGGGAGUACGGUCGCAAGGCUAAAACUCAAAGGAAUUGACGGGGGCUCACACAAGCGGUGGAGCAUGUUGCUUAAUUCGAAGCAACGCGAAGAACCUUACCUGGGCUUGACAUGUACGGAUUAGCUCUUGGAAACAUGAGUGACGCCCUCGGGUGGAACGUACACAGGUGCUGCAUGGCUGUCGUCAGCUCGUGCUGUGAAGUGUUGGGUUAAGUCCUUUAACGAGCGCAACCCUUGUCGCUAGUUGCCAGCGCGUUAUGGCGGGGACUCUAGCGAGACUGCCGGUGUCAAACCGGAGGAAGGUGGGGAUGACGUCAAGUCCUCAUGGCCCUUACGCCCAGGGAUGCAAACGUGCUACAAUGGUCGAUACAGAGCGAUGCGAGACCGCGAGGUGGAGCAAAUCGCAAAAAGUCGGCCCCAGUUCGGAUUGCAGUCUGCAACUCGACUGCAUGAAGCCGGAAUCGCUAGUAAUCGGAGAUCAGC
rnacentral:rRNA from 1 species